rnacentral:misc_RNA from 1 species
UACGGAGGGUGCAAGCGUUGUCCGGAUUUAUUGGGUUUAAAGGGUGCGUAGGCGGCCCAUUAAGUCAGCGGUGAAAUCCCACAGCUCAACUGUGGAACUGCCGUUGAUACUGGUGGGCUUGAGUAAUUAUGAAGUGGUUAGAAUAUGUAGUGUAGCGGUGAAAUGCAUAGAUACCACCAAGAACCCCGAUUGCGUAGGCAGCUCGCUAGGCUUUAACUGACGCUGAGGCACGAAAGCGUGGGGAGCGAACAGG